UGGGGAAUUUUGGACAAUGGGGGAAACCCUGAUCCAGCCAUCCCGCGUGUGCGAUGAAGGCCUUCGGGUUGUAAAGCACUUUUGGCAGGAAAGAAACGUCAUGGGUUAAUACCCCGUGAAACUGACGGUACCUGCAGAAUAAGCACCGGCUAACUACGUGCCAGCAGCCGCGGUAAUACGUAGGGUGCAAGCGUUAAUCGGAAUUACUGGGCGUAAAGCGUGCGCAGGCGGUUCGGAAAGAAAGAUGUGAAAUCCCAGAGCUCAACUUUGGAACUGCAUUUUUAACUACCGGGCUAGAGUGUGUCAGAGGGAGGUCGAAUUCCGCGUGUAGCAGUGAAAUGCGUAGAUAUGCGGAGGAACACCGAUGGCGAAGGCAGCCUCCUGGGAUAACACUGACGCUCAUGCACGAAAGCGUGGGGAGCAAACAGG
rnacentral:rRNA from 1 species